GACAGAGGGUGCAAGCGUUGUUCAGAAUCAUUGGGCGUAAAGGGCGCGUAGGCGGUUUUGUAAGCCAGAUGUGAAAGCCCCGGGCUUAACCUGGGAAUGGCAUUUGGGACUGCAAGGCUUGAGUGCGGCAGAGGAGACUGGAAUUCCUGGUGUAGCAGUGAAAUGCGUAGAUAUCAGGAGGAAUACCGAUGGCGAAGGCAGGUCUCUGGGCUGACACUGACGCUCAUGCACGAAAGCGUGGGGAGCAAACAGG
rnacentral:rRNA from 1 species